GACGAACGCUGGCGGCGUGCUUAACACAUGCAAGUCGAGCGGUAAGGCCCUUUCGGGGGUACACGAGCGGCGAACGGGUGAGUAACACGUGGGUGACCUGCCUUUAGCUCUGGGAUAAGCCUGGGAAACCGGGUCUAAUACCGGAUAUGACUCCGCGGCGCAUGUUGUGGGGUGGAAAGCCUUGUGCGGCUGGAGAUGGGGCCCGCGGCCUAUCAGCUUGUUGGUGGGGUGAUGGCCUACCAAGGCGACGACGGGUAGCCGGCCUGAGAGGGCGACCGGCCACACUGGGACUGAGACACGGCCCAGACUCCUACGGGAGGCAGCAGUGGGGAAUCUUGCGCAAUGGGCGAAAGCCUGACGCAGCGACGCCGCGUGAGGGAUGACGGCCUGG
rnacentral:rRNA from 1 species